AUGCUUGCUUCGGCAGCACGUAUACUAAAAUUGGAACGAUACAGAGAAGAUUAGCAUGGCCCUUGCGCAAGGAUGACACACAAAUUGGUGAAGCAUUCCAUAUUUUU
ensembl:snRNA U6 U6 spliceosomal RNA